AUUGAACGCUGGCGGCAUGCUUUACACAUGCAAGUCGGACGAGUGGCGAACGGGUGAGUAACGCAUCGGAACGUACCGAGUAAUGGGGGGUAACUGUCCGAAAGGACAGCUAAUACCGCAUAUUAUUCGAGCGGCCGAUGUCUGAUUCGCUGGUUGGCGGGGUAAAGGCCCACCAAGGCGACGAUCCGUAACUGGUCUGAGAGGAUGAUCAGUCACACUGGAACUGAGACACGGUCCAGACUCCUACGGGAGGCAGCAGUGGGGAAUAUUGGACAAUGGGCGAAAGCCUGAUGCAGCCAUGCCGCGUGUGUGAAGAAGGCCUUCGGGUUGUAAAGCACUUUCAGCGGGGAGGCGUUACCCGCAGAAGAAGCACCGGCUAACUCCGUGCCAGCAGCCGCGGUAAUUC
rnacentral:rRNA from 1 species